rnacentral:tRNA from 1 species
UGUGACAGAAUAGUGUGAUAAAUUUAAGAUUUAUAUAUAAAGUCAAUCUUUCUUUAGAA